rnacentral:rRNA from 1 species
UACGUAGGGGGCAAGCGUUGUCCGGAAUCAUUGGGCGUAAAGCGCGCGUAGGCGGCCCCGUAAGUCCGCUGUGAAAGUCAAAGGCUCAACCUUUGAAAGCCGGUGGAUACUGUGGGGCUAGAGUCCGGAAGAGGCGAGUGGAAUUCCUGGUGUAGCGGUGGAAUGCGUAGAUAUCUGGAGGAACACCGGUGGCGAAGGCGGCAUCCUGGACCGGCAUUGACGCUGAGGAGCGAAAGCCAGGGGAGCAAACGGG